UACGUAGGGUGCGAGCGUUGUCCGGAAUUAUUGGGCGUAAAGGGCUCGUAGGCGGUCUGUUACGUCGGGAGUGAAAACUCGGGGCUACAACCCCGGAGCCUGCUUCCGAUACGGGCAGACUAGAGGUAUGCAGGGGAGAAUGGAAUUCCUGGUGUAGCGGUGAAAUGCGCAGAUAUCAGGAGGAACACCGGUGGCGAAGGCGGUUCUCUGGGCAUUACCUGACGCUGAGGAGCGAAAGUGUGGGGAGGCGAACAGG
rnacentral:rRNA from 1 species